CCAGACUCCUACGGGAGGCAGCAGUGGGGAAUAUUGCACAAUGGGGGGAACCCUGAUGCAGCAAUGCCGCGUGAAGGAUGAAGGUUUUCGGAUUGUAAACUUCUUUUGUACGGGACGAAGAAAGUGACGGUACCAUAGGAGGAAGCCCCGGCUAACUACGUGCCAGCAGCCGCGGUAAUACGUAGGGGGCGAGCGUUGUCCGGAAUUACUGGGCGUAAAGAGAGCGUAGGCGGCACUACAAGUCUCAUGUGAAAUGCCCGGGCUUAACUUGGGGGUUGCAUGGGAAACUGUAGAGCUUGAGUACAGGAGAGGCAAGCGGAAUUCCUAGUGUAGCGGUGAAAUGCAUAGAUAUUAGGAGGAACACCAGUGGCGAAGGCGGCUUGCUGGACUGAAACUGACGCUGAGGCUCGAAAGCGUGGGGAGCAAACAGGAUUAGAUACCCCAGUAC
rnacentral:rRNA from 1 species